UCAACAGGCUUUUAUUGAGCACCUACUUUGUGCCAGUCACUAUGGCAAAGAACUAGUAAUGUUGGCUAUGCUUGAAUGGCACAGAUAAUUGGAGGAAAGACAGGAGCUCGUGGGCUGUAUUACAUUGAUUUGUGAUCUUAGACUGGAUGAUUUCUGAGGUCCUUUUCAAUCCUGUGAUGCUAUUGUAAUGCCACCUUGGAGGAUACCCAGAUGGCUUCACCUGGAGGAAUGCUCAAGUCAUUUUCAGCGCUCUGUACUUGCAGCUCUGCUCUGGGAGGCCUUCAUCAGCAAUUGCAAAGAGAACCACACUGAUAACACUCAGAGGAAUCCAUGUUGGGGAUGUUGCUAACAGGAGGGAAGACAGAAAUGAUGCAAAUGGACCAAAGGAAUGAAGGUAUCCUGGCAGAUAAAAGUGCAUCCAGUUCAGUUCUCUGUUGCAAAUGAAGCAGAGAGUCAGCUAUUGUUAACUCAGGGAGGAAAUCCUCCUUAGACGGUUUAAAAGGGAACAUCGUGGCUAUUUUCCAAUGGAUAUGCAAUCAAAGGAGAUGAAUAAAUUAUACUUUUUGGGGG